CAGCCGCCGCGGGAAUACGGAGGAUCCAAGCGUCAUCCGGAAUCAUUGGGUUUAAAGGGUCCGUAGGCGGUUUAGUAAGUCAGUGGUGAAAGCCCAUCGCUCAACGGUGGAACGGCCAUUGAUACUGCUGAACCUGAAUUAUUAGGAAGUAACUAGAAUAUGUAGUGUAGCGGUGAAAUGCUUAGAGGUUACAUGGAAUACCAAUUGCGAAGGCAGGUUACUACUAAUUGAUUGACGCUGAUGGACGAAAGCGUGGGGAGCGAACAGGAUUAGAUACCCCAGUAGUCCCUGUCUCUUAUAC
rnacentral:rRNA from 1 species